rnacentral:ncRNA from 1 species
CGACCUCAGAUCAGACGAGACAACCCGCUGAAUUUAAGCAUAUUACUAAGCGGAGGAAAAGAAACUAACAAGGAUUCCCUCAGUAGCGGCGAGCGAAGAGGGAAGAGCCCAGCGCCGAAUCCCCGCCCGGCGGUCGGGCGCGGGAAAUGUGGCGUACGGAAGUCUGCUUGCCCGGCGGCGGCAGGGGGGCCUGAGUCCUUCUGAUAGAGGCUCUGCCCGUAGACGGUGUGAGGCCGGUAAAGGCUCCCGUCGCGCCGGGGUCCGGUCUUCUCGGAGUCGGGUUGUUUGUGAAUGCAGCCCAAAGCGGGUGGUAAACUCCAUCUAAGGCUAAAUACCGGCGCGAGACCGAUAGCCGACAAGUACCUUAAGGGAAAGUUGAAAAGAACUUUGAAGAGAGAGUUCAACAGGGCGUGAAACCGUUGAGAGGUAAACCGGUGGGGUCCGCGCAGUCUGCGCGGGGGAUUCAGCUCCGGGGCUCGGUCGGUCGCUUGGUGCGCGGGUGGAGGGGGGUCUCCUCCUUCCCCGCCGCCUCGCUGGCCCGUGCCUUCUCCGGGGUGCACUUCCUCCGUGGCGGUGCGCCGCGACCGGCUCCU